UACAGAGGUCUCAAGCGUUGUUCGGAUUCAUUGGGCGUAAAGGGUGCGUAGGCGGCGCGGUAAGUCGGGUGUGAAAUCUCGGGGCUUAACUCCGAAACUGCAUUCGAUACUGCCGUGCUUGAGGACUGGAGAGGAGACUGGAAUUCACGGUGUAGCAGUGAAAUGCGUAGAUAUCGUGAGGAAGACCAGUGGCGAAGGCGGGUCUCUGGACAGUUCCUGACACUGAGGCACGAAGGCCAGGGGGAGCAAAACGGG
rnacentral:rRNA from 1 species